UGUGUGCUUCUUUCUUUAAGCCCCUUUGUUAGUCUCUUUUUCAGCGUUUUCCUGUUAAAGAAAUUUGCUAGACUUGUUUCUUCUAAAACCAGUGCUCUCUGCUACGAAGUGUUUUAUGUGAAAAAUAAACACUUUCGAUAACAUACAAAGAAAAGGCUUUUCCUGUUCAUCUCACCCAAUUAGUGUAUUCUCUACAAGUCUAAGGGUGAAAACUGCCAAGGUUAACAUACAUGCUAUAAAACAAUCGAUUGGUUAAAAAUCAUAGUUUUCAAAACCGGACCGGACCGGACCGGUAAAACCGGUAUCUGUUCAACCCUCCGGGUCCAAUUAUACUGUAAACCGCUAAAUCCUAAAAACCGUUGAAAAUGUCAAAAAACCGCUGACCCAAAUGGUCAAACCGUUAAAUCGUUCGACCCAGACAGUGGUUCGCGGGUUACGAAUUUCAUUUUCAUUGAUUUAAAAAAAUAAUAAAAACAAAAAAAAAACACUUACGAAUUAGGCCUUUAGGGUUAGACCCUCCUCUCAGUCUCAUACCCCGACUCACGACUGAUGGCGACCGGCGAUGGCGGUGAACUUCACCUACGGCGGUUUGCAUUUUAUAACUAGCAACAACCUCUAUUUAUCAAGGACUUGCAGCGGCCAACCGCUGGUGACUACGAUGGAGUCACCGGUUUUGGGUAAAAAUCCACAAGAUUUGGCAUAGAAACCGUCGGCGACCAAGAUUUGGCAUAGCAUCUCCUUUGACCAAAGAAGAGAACAACGACACCCGCGUUUUCAACUGAAGAUUUGUAACGGCCAACAACCUUCGUGCACUUGAAGGCGACGACCAAGAUUUGUAGCGGCCAACUUUUGGCAAACAGCAAGCACACUUGCGUCUCCGAACAAUCAACCGCUGGCGACCAAGAUUUACAGCGGCAACUGGCCAACAUAGUGGAAGGAUUGCAUCGGCCAGCUUGUAUUGAAGCUUUCUUGCACCGACAACCACCUCUUGCUCCCAAAUCUCUGCGCAUUAGUCACUCCCCUUCCCCCUUUUUUUUUUUAAUAUUGGGUCUUUCUUGCACCGACAACCAUCUCUUGCUCUGGCUAGCAUGUAUUGAGCGGCGGAAACCUCUACAACAGCCAUUAAAGCCGAGCUGCCUGGUGGGUCUCUGCCGAUAACGGAUACUCUGAGGUUGCGACCGAAGAGUUUGGGGCUGGAUUUGCUAGCUAAGAUAUGGAAUCUACGGGGAUUUGGUUUGGAUGAGAGAGAUUUAGUUAGGGAGAGGGAAUGAUAAUUCUCUAAUGUGGUUUUCCGGAGGCCAAUGAAGCUAUUAACGGUAGCGCGUCGGAAAUGGGUGAUUUUCCAGACACAAUUGGCGGUGUUGGUGGAAAAUAGGGAGUUUAUGGCAGUAGUGGACGCCAUCCUUGCUGGCCUCUGGUGUGGUAUCUGAAGUCUGAACAGAGUCCACCAAGAGUUGGAGACUCUUCAAAUGCUGAAUUACUAGCAGACUGUUGAAAGAAUCAGCUCAAGCAAGAGUCCUUGUGAUAGAAGGGGACUAGGGGACUCAAAAGUGGUGGAAGGGUAGUUGACAGAUCUAGAUUUUGUGACGUGGUGCUAUAGGAAUGAAAUAAAGAGAAUAUGAAUAAGCAUGCAAGAUGGGAAGGGAAGCAAAUCUUUGGCUGAUUGUUUAGCCAAGCAAGCAAGGGGUUAAUAGGGAGUGGUUGUUUUGGGCUCAGUUGUAACUUUCUGUUUGUAUUAACCUGUCUUGUUGGGGAGGACAUGGUUCGCACCUCUUAGGGAUACUGGUAUUGCUUUAAUCUUUUGAGUAAUAAAGUUUUAUUCAAUGAAAAAAAAAGACCAAUUGGCAUACUUUGCAAUGCUUAUUCUACAGCCGGAGGAGCCUUGUAUAAAUAAGCUUACUUUGAAUUACAUCACAGUGGAAAAAAGCAUAUUAAGCACCAAUUCAUCUUGACAAGGAAAUAUUUGAGAACAAUAUCUAAGAGAUGCUGCAUGUAUCUUUUUUGCAUUUUAAAUUUUCCAAGAGAUGGAUACCAUCAAUAUUUAUUUUUCCUACAGUGCAUGGUACAUGCUCAUACUUGACGUGGG